GACGAACGCUGGCGGCGUGCUUAACACAUGCAAGUCGAACGGAAAGGCCCUGCUUUUGUGGGGUGCUCGAGUGGCGAACGGGUGAGUAACACUUGAGUAACCUGCCCUUGACUUUGGGAUAUCUUCUGGUAACUGGGGCUAAUACCGGAUAGGAGCUCCUGCUGCAUGGUGGGGGUUGGAAAGUUUCGGCGGUUGGGGAUGGACUCGCGGCUUAUCAGCUUGUUGGUGGGGUAGUGGCUUACCAAGGCUUUGACGGGUAGCCGGCCUGAGAGGGUGACCGGCCACAUUGGGACUGAGAUACGGCCCAGACUCCUACGGGAGGCAGCAGAGGGGAAUAUUGCAAAAUGGGCGGAAGCCUGAUGCAGCAACGCCGCGUGCGGGAUGACGGCCUUCGGGUUGUAAACCGCUUUCGCCUGUGACGAAGCGUGAGUGACGGUAAUGGGUAAAGAAGCACCGGCUAACUACGUG
rnacentral:rRNA from 1 species